rnacentral:hammerhead_ribozyme from 1 species
AUCCAGAUGAUGAGUCCAAAAUAGGACGACAUACACGUUCUGGAU